ACCUGCGGAAGGAUCAUUACAGAGUUCAUGCCCGAAAGGGUAGACCUCCCACCCUUGUGUAUUAUUACUUUGUUGCUUUGGCGAGCUGCCUUCGGGCCUUGUAUGCUCGCCAGAGAAUACCAAAACUCUUUUUAUUAAUGUCGUCUGAGUACUAUAUAAUAGUUAAAACUUUCAACAACGGAUCUCUUGGUUCUGGCAUCGAUGAAGAACGCAGCGAAAUGCGAUAAGUAAUGUGAAUUGCAGAAUUCAGUGAAUCAUCGAAUCUUUGAACGCACAUUGCGCCCCUUGGUAUUCCGGGGGGCAUGCCUGUUCGAGCGUCAUUUCAACCCUCAAGCUUAGCUUGGUAUUGAGUCUAUGUCAGUAAUGGCAGGCUCUAAAAUCAGUGGCGGCGCCGCUGGGUCCUGAACGUAGUAAUAUCUCUCGUUACAGGUUCUCGGUGUGCUUCUGCCAAAACCCAAAUUUUUCUAUGGUUGACCUCGGAUCAGGUAGGGAUACCCGCUGAACUUAAGCAUAUCAAUAAG
rnacentral:rRNA from 1 species